rnacentral:lncRNA from 1 species
CAGAUCUUGAGAGCUGGCUGUGCAUGCCCUCCGCCCCGCUGCCCCUCCGCCCGGACCCCGGCACCAGGCCGCCGGACAAGGACGCCGUACUGCUGACCCUCCCCCCGCAGAGGGAUGGCCAGUUUCUGCCACCCUCGCCAGUCCUCCCCGUUCCCGCGAUGCCAGUGGCCAGGGUCGUCGGUCAGGGGGGGGUGAGCGUCCGGAAGCGACGCCGCCUGGCCGCCAGCCCCGGGGGGCUACACUGGAGCUCUUCAGGGUCGGUGCUGCGCGACUUCGACAGAACGUCUCCCGUGUCGGAGGUGAAGCGCAUCCCGCCGCCGGUCCGCAGCCCCCCCGCGCCCUCCCACCAGGCCGCCGUUUGGGCCGAGCGGGCGGCCCUCAGGAAGACCGUGUCGGUGGACGACCGGCUGCUGCAGCCGGCGCCGCAGGGGAACCACCGGCUCCUCAGCCGCCUGGAGAGGGGAAAGAAGAAGCUGCGCAACAUCCACGUGAGUUGCCGCACGGCUGAUCUCGA